AUAAUCCUUUCACCUCCACUGACCUGCAAUAAAAUAUGACACGAAACAACCAAGAUUUGAUGACAAUCAAAAUGGCAACUGGAAUAUAAUCCCUGUUUUCCCAGGUCACUUGUAGGAGAAGGGCUAUUCUGAGGAGGAGGAAGUUACAGGGACAGUCAAGUGUGUAGGAGGAACCGGAGAGGAGGCCAGCUUGCUGGUUAGCAUUGCAGAUGCAACAGCAGGGACUCUAGAUGCUUCUGAUGGCCCCAGCAACAGCAUCCCUGAAGGAGAGAGGAGCCAGAACCAGCUCCUCCUGUCAGGUGAAGUAAGCUCAGGCAGACCUGUAGAGCUAGUUUGGACACAUCUGGGGGAGCUGGAGUUCUCACACAGUGGGUGAGGAUGAAGCCUGAAAAUAUGUCUUGCCAUGGUCAUUGAGACCACAUUUUCACUCCUACACUGUUGUGGCCUGAGGAAAAGGUUUUGCAGGGCUUUUCCUCCAGGAGUUCUUAACCUUCUAGAGGAAAGAAAGAAACACUGCAGAAGCUAAUGGUGUUAGACAAUACAGGACUAUGUGGAGAAUUAGGAACUGUAGGAGUUUAGAAGAAAGUUCUCUGGAAUCAAACAGCCAGAAAAUAUUUUAUUAAUAAGAAAGGAAUUUAAAUGUGGAUGUAAAGGAUGGCCUGGAACCAAAUAAAAUAAAAUGAGAAAAUUAAAGGUGAGAGGCAGAGGGCCUUCCAGUGGCAUGUUUAUCCUCCAUCAUUUCAUGGAGGGUUCUAGAAUGGUUAAGGUAACUAGUAAGUCUAAGAAGCAAUGGUCAAGGUAAUUAGUAAAUUCAAAAUUUCAUGUAUAAUAUAUAGUCUAAUCUCAUAAAAGGACUACUUAUUUUCUAUGGAAUAUUAUUAAAGCUCCAAAAGUCAAGGAAUAGUAAAGAUAAAACAUCUGCCUCAUGGUCCCAUUCUAAAGCAGAAAGGAUGGACAGAGAGAAAAGACAUAAUUACAGAAAACUUGUGCUGUGAUUUUGCUGGAGAUAGAACCACCAGAAUCUGACAGUAUUGAACACCCUCUGGUGGUCAUAUUAGUGAAGACUGGUUACUUGGGAACUUUCACCCAUUUUGCUACAUGGGGAAUGAUUCCCAAAGAGGAAAUGGCAUUCAUUGACUUGAUUCUCCUUCCCCUUCAUUAAUUUGCAUACAAAUGCAGCUCAUCUUGAUUUAUUUUCCUCCACCGGCACUGUCUGGUAAUUCUAAAAAGCCCCUCCUUUGACCACAGCUGUAGUAAAAUGAAGACCGAGGGAGAACAUGUAGAUAUAUAGGCAAUAAUACAAUUAAUUCCAGAUGGCAAGAAGAUACUGUUCUGUAUUUCUAAAGAAAAUACCGAACAGGAGGAAAAUCAAUGGUGUGGGAAAUUUUGGCAUUUAAUGUUAUUCAUCCAGAUCUCAGAUGUUGCUGUGAGACAGGCAAAGAUUAAAUAACUAUGCAAAACACCUAGCAAAAUCCCUGUAAUUGAGCAAGUACUCAGUAAACAUUAUUCCUUUCUCUUAAAUACGUACUGAUAUAUUUCUAAACGGGACUCAGAAACAAAAUGGACGACACACACAAAAAAUGGUAUCUAUGUGAGGUGAUGGAUGUGUUAAUUAUCUUGAU